ACGGUCCUAAGGUAGCGAAAUUCCUUGUCGGGUAAGUUCCGACCCGCACGAAAGGCGUAACGAUUUGGGCACUGUCUCAACGAGAGACUCGGUGAAAUCAUAGUACCUGUGAAGAUGCAGGUUACCCGCGACAGGACGGAAAGACCCCGUGGAGCUUUACUGUAGCCUGAUAUUGAAAUUCGGCACAGCUUGUACAGGAUAGGUAGGAGCCUUUGAAACGUGAGCGCUAGCUUACGUGGAGGCGUUGGUGGGAUACUACCCUAGCUGUGUUGGCUUUCUAACCCGCACCACUUAUCGUGGUGGGAGACAGUGUCAGGCGGGCAGUUUGACUGGGGCGGUCGCCUCCUAAAAGGUAACGGAGGCGCUCAAAGGUUCCCUCAGAAUGGUUGGAAAUCAUUCAUAGAGUGUAAAGGCAUAAGGGAGCUUGACUGCGAGACCUACAAGUCGAGCAGGGUCGAAAGACGGACUUAGUGAUCCGGUGGUUCCGCAUGGAAGGGCCAUCGCUCAACGGAUAAAAGCUACCCCGGGGAUAACAGGCUUAUCUCCCCCAAGAGUUCACAUCGACGGGGAGGUUUGGCACCUCGAUGUCGGCUCAUCGCAUCCUGGGGCUGUAGUCGGUCCCAAGGGUUGGGCUGUUCGCCCAUUAAAGCGGUACGCGAGCUGGGUUCAGAACGUCGUGAGACAGUUCGGUCCCUAUCCGUCGUGGGCGUAGGAAAUUUGAGAGGAGCUGUCCUUAGUACGAGAGGACCGGGAUGGACAUACCUCUGGUGUACCAGUUGUCGUGCCAACGGCAUAGCUGGGUAGCUAUGUAUGGACGGGAUAAGUGCUGAAAGCAUCUAAGCAUGAAGCCCCCCUCAAGAUGAGAUUUCCCAACUUCGGUUAUAAGAUCCCUCAGAGAUGAUGAGGUUAAUAGGUUCGAGGUGGAAGCGUGGUGACACGUGGAGCUGACGAAUACUAAUCGAUCGAAGACUUAAUCAA
rnacentral:rRNA from 1 species